UACGUAGGGGGCAAGCGUUGUCCGGAAUCAUUGGGCGUAAAGCGCGUGUAGGCGGUCCGGUAAGUCCGCUGUGAAAGUCCAGGGCUCAACCCUGGGAUGCCGGUGGAUACUGUCGGGCUAGAGUACGGAAGAGGCGAGUGGAAUUCCCGGUGUAGCGGUGAAAUGCGCAGAUAUCGGGAGGAACACCAAUUGCGAAGGCAGCUCGCUGGGACGGUACUGACGCUGAGACGCGAAAGCGUGGGGAGCGAACAGG
rnacentral:rRNA from 1 species